GACAGAGGUGCCAAGCGUUAGGCGGAAUCACUGGGCUUAAAGCGUGUGUAGGCGGAUGCCUAAGUACCUUGUGAAAUCCCCGGGCUCAACCUGGGAAUUGCAUUCGAGACUGUGUAGCUGGGGUGCGGAAGAGGGAAGCGGAAUUUCCGGUGUAGCGGUGAAAUGCGUAGAUAUCGGAAGGAACAUCAGUGGCGAAAGCGGCUUCCUGGUCCAGCACCGACGUUCAGGCACGAAAGCGUGGGGAGCAAACAGG
rnacentral:rRNA from 1 species